CGUAAACAAAGGGAAGCGAGCCCGUGAAGGGGAGCAAAUCCCAAAAAUAACGUCCCAGUUCGGAUUGUAGUCUGCAACCCGACUACAUGAAGCUGGAAUCGCUAGUAAUCGCGGAUCAGAAUGCCGCGGUGAAUACGUUCCCGGGUCUUGUACACACCGCCCGUCACACCAUGGGAGUCGGAAAUGCCCGAAGUCUGUGACCUAACCGUAAGGAAGGAGCAGCCGAAGGCAGGUCGGAUGACUGGGGUGAAGUCGUAACAAGGUACC
rnacentral:rRNA from 1 species